GUGAGUAUUACUCUGCCUUGUAGCUUUGUAUGCAUAUUGUUUUUCACAGUUUCUAUAGUGACACUGAUCAAUAUGUAAAUUGCAGAAAACUUCAUGACAGGUUAUCGUGUUGUUUUUGAUAUGGAGAAUUUGAAAUUGGGUUGGUCUAAUUCAAAUUGUAAGCAUUUAAGCUUGUGUUGUUUGAAUUCUCUAAAAUAUAGAUGAUUUUGCUUAUUUGAAGUCCUAGUUUUUCUGAAUACAUUGAACCAUUGAUUCUUAGAAAUUUCUUACUUCAUUCAAAUUGCUUGUGAAGAAUUUAUAUGAGUACUAGAAUCAACUUCCAUUUAAAGGAGAUUCUGAUAGAAAAUUUAUAGAAACCUAACAUGGUUAUGAAGAAUUGCCUUCUUGGUUCAACAUUUACUUUUGUUGGCAGAUUUGAAACUGAUUUUAUCCUUGAUUCACGUGUGCAG
rnacentral:misc_RNA from 1 species